AGAGUUUGAUCCUGGCUCAGAUUGAACGCUGGCGGCAUGCCUUACACAUGCAAGUCGAACGGCAGCACGGACUUCGGUCUGGUGGCGAGUGGCGAACGGGUGAGUAAUGUAUCGGAACGUACCUUUCAGUGGGGGAUAACGUAGCGAAAGUUACGCUAAUACCGCAUAUUCUGUGAGCAGGAAAGCAGGGGAUCGCAAGACCUUGCGCUGAUUGAGCGGCCGAUAUCAGAUUAGCUAGUUGGUGGGGUAAAGGCCUACCAAGGCUACGAUCUGUAGCGGGUCUUAGAGGAUGAUCCGCCACACUGGAACUGAGACACGGUCCAGACUCCUACGGGAGGCAGCAGUGGGGAAUUUUGGACAAUGGGGGCAACCCUGAUCCAGCCAUGCCGCGUGAGUGAAGAAGGCCUUCGGGUUGUAAA
rnacentral:rRNA from 1 species